AGAGUUUGAUCCUGGCUCAGGAUGAACGCUAGCUACAGGCUUAACACAUGCAAGUCGAGGGGCAGCAUGGUCUUAGCUUGCUAAGGCCGAUGGCGACCGGCGCACGGGUGAGUAACGCGUAUCCAACCUGCCUUACACUCUUGGACAGCCUUCUGAAAGGGAGAUUAAUACAAGAUGUUAUCAUGAGUAAGCAUUUUCGCAUGAUUAAAGGUUUACCGGUGUAAGAUGGGGAUGCGUUCCAUUAGAUAGUAGGCGGGGUAACGGCCCACCUAGUCUUCGAUGGAUAGGGGUUCUGAGAGGAAGGUCCCCCACAUUGGAACUGAGACACGGUCCAAACUCCUACGGGAGGCAGCAGUGAGGAAUAUUGGUCAAUGGACGAGAGUCUGAACCAGCCAAGUAGCGUGAAGGAUGAAGGUUCUAUGGAUUGUAAACUUCUUUUAUACGGGAAUAAACGGAUCCACGUGUGGAUUUUUGCAUGUACCGUAUGAAUAAGGAUCGGCUAACUCCGUGCCAGCAGCCGCGGUAAUACGGAGGAUCCGAGCGUUAUCCGGAUUUAUUGGGUUUAAAGGGAGCGUAGAUGGGUUGUUAAGUCAGUUGUGAAAGUUUGCGGCUCAACCGUAAAAUUGCAAUUGAUACUGGCAGUCUUGAGUACAGUUGAGGUAGGCGGAAUUCGUGGUGUAGCGGUGAAAUGCUUAGAUAUCACGAAGAACUCCGAUUGCGAAGGCAGCUUACUAACCUGUAACUGACAUUGAUGCUCGAAAGUGUGGGUAUCAAACAGGAUUAGAUACCCUGGUAGUCCACACGGUAAACGAUGAAUACUCGCUGUAGGCGAUAUACAGUCUGCGGCCAAGCGAAAGCAUUAAGUAUUCCACCUGGGGAGUACGCCGGCAACGGUGAAACUCAAAGGAAUUGACGGGGGCCCGCACAAGCGGAGGAACAUGUGGUUUAAUUCGAUGAUACGCGAGGAACCUUACCCGGGCUUAAAUUGCAACCGAAUAUGGCGGAAACGCUAUAGCUAGCAAUAGCGGUUGUGAAGGUGCUGCAUGGUUGUCGUCAGCUCGUGCCGUGAGGUGUCGGCUUAAGUGCCAUAACGAGCGCAACCCUUGCCGAUAGUUACUAACAGGUUAUGCUGAGGACUCUGUCGGGACUGCCAUCGUAAGAUGUGAGGAAGGUGGGGAUGACGUCAAGUCAUCAUGCCCCUUAUAUGCUGGGCUACACACGUGCUACAAUGGGCAGUACAGAGAGAAGCAAAUCUGUGAGGAGGAGCAAACCUCAGAAAGCUGUUCGUAGUUCGGAUUGUACUCUGCAACUCGAGUACAUGAAGUUGGAAUCACUAGUAAUCGCAAAUCAGCAAUGUUGCGGUGAAUACGUUCUCGGGUCUUGCACACACCGCCCGUCAAG
rnacentral:rRNA from 1 species